AUUCCAGCUCCAAUAGCGUAUAUUAAAGUUGUUGCAGUUAAAAAGCUCGUAGUUGAACUUCAGACCUGGCCGGGCGGUCUGCCUAACGGUAUGUACUGUCUGGCCGGGCCUUACCUCUUGGUGAGCCGGCAUGCCCUUUACUGGGUGUGUCGGGGAACCAGGACUUUUACCUUGAGAAAAUUAGAGUGUUCAAAGCAGGCCUAUGCCCGAAUACAUUAGCAUGGAAUAAUAAAAUAGGACGUGCGGUUCUAUUUUGUUGGUUUCUAGAGUCGCCGUAAUGAUUAAUAGGGAUAGUUGGGGGCAUUGGUAUUGAGUCGCUAGAGGUGAAAUUCUUGGAUUGACUCAAGACCAACUAUUGCGAAAGCAUUUGCCAAGGAUGUUUUCAUUA
rnacentral:rRNA from 1 species